rnacentral:rRNA from 1 species
UACGUAGGGUGCAAGCGUUGUCCGGAAUCAUUGGGCGUAAAGCGCGUGUAGGCGGCUUGGUAAGUCUGGUGUGAAACCUCGGGGCUCAACCCCGAGCCUGCACUGGAUACUGCCUCGCUUGAGUCCGGGAGGGGAGAGCGGAAUUCCUAGUGUAGCGGUGAAAUGCGCAGAUAUCUGGAGGAACACCGGUGGCGAAGGCGGCAUCCUGGACCAACACUGACGCUGAGUGAGCGAAAGCCAGGGGAGCAAACGGG